rnacentral:rRNA from 1 species
GGUUAGGGGUGAAAUGCCAAUCGAACUCGGAGCUAGCUGGUUCUCCCCGAAAUGCGUUGAGGCGCAGCGGUUGACGAGGAACCUCGUUUGAGACCAUGAGCUGUCUAGGGGUAAAGCACUGUAUCGGUGCGGGCUGCGAGAGCGGUACCAAAUCGUAGCAAACUAAGAAUACUAGGCAUGUCUUUCCGUCAACCAGUGAGACGGUGGGGGAUAAGCUCCAUCGUCAAGAGGGAAACAGCCCAGAUCACCAGCUAAGGCCCCUGAAUGAUCGCUAAGUGGAAAAGGAGGUGAGAAUGCCGAAACAGCCAGAAGGUUUGCUUAGAAGCAGCCAUCCUUUAAAGAGUGCGUAAUAGCUCACUGGUGGAGCGUUCUUGCGCCGAAAAUUUACGGGACUAAGCGAUCUGCCGAAGCUGUGGGAUACCAGCAAAAAGAGCUGGUAUCGGUAGGGGAGCGUUCCGCCUUAGGGUGAAGCAUUGGUGUAAACUGGUGUGGACGAAGCGGAAGUGAGAAUGUCGGCUUGAGUAA